rnacentral:rRNA from 1 species
GAUGAACGCUGGCGGCGUGCCUAAUACAUGCAAGUCGAGCGAACAGACGAGGAGCUUGCUCCUCUGACGUUAGCGGCGGACGGGUGAGUAACACGUGGAUAACCUACCUAUAAGACUGGGAUAACUUCGGGAAACCGGAGCUAAUACCGGAUAAUAUAUUGAACCGCAUGGUUCAAUAGUGAAAGACGGUUUUGCUGUCACUUAUAGAUGGUCCGCGCCGCAUUAGCUAGUUGGUAAGGUAACGGCUUACCAAGGCAACGAUGCGUAGCCGACCUGAGAGGGUGAUCGGCCACACUGGAACUGAGACACGGUCCAGACUCCUACGGGAGGCAGCAGUAGGGAAUCUUCCGCAAUGGGCGAAAGCUUGACGGAGCAACGCCGCGUGAGUGAUGAAGGUCUUCGGAUCGUAAAACUCUGUUAUUAGGGAAGAACAAAUGUGUAAGUAACUAUGCACGUCUUGACGGUACCUAAUCAGAAAGCCACGGCUAACUACGUG